ensembl:lncRNA
CCUUGAUAGCGCAUCUAAGCGUGUAUUGGUUGUGUCCAUUAUAUCCUUCACAAAGCUUCUGAAAUUGUCACUUUGUUGCUGUAUCAGCGCCAUAAACAUUUCUUUUUGUUGGAGGAGUAACUCGCUCACCAGGGAAAGGGGUACGUAUUCCUCUUCCACCUUCGCCUCCGCAUUUGACCCUUUGGGUGGCAUUCUGAUGUUUGGCUGGUAACUGCUGCUAGCUGCUGCUGGAGCCAGGUAGAUGGUGGCUGCUGCUCAAGCCUGGGCCUUGUUGCUGGUAGCUGCUGCUCAAGCCUGGG